CAAAGUGAUCAGAGGGAUGAUAGUGCAAGGGGGACUUCCAUUUUCUGUAAUGAGACAGGAGCACUUCAAGUGGAUCAUAGCUACGGGUUUCUUCGGUCGUCACAUCGAAUGCCGGACUACAUUGGUACAAAAGCUUCAGGCAGAGGCUCUGCAGCUGAAGGAAGACCUCCGCGAGAAAUUUUCAAGAAUCGGCUACAUCGCAUCCACAGCGGACUGCUGGACUGUCCACAAAAGGGCCUAUUUGGGCGUUACAGCGCAUUGGGUUGACUGUGCAAGCCUUAGAAGAGAGUCUGCCGUGUUAGCCUGCAAGAGACUUAAGGGGAGCCAUACCUUCGAUGUCCUUGCCAGUGCUCUUGAGGAGGUAUACAAUGAUUACAACAUGUCGGAUAACUCAACAACGACGGACAACGCGUCCAACUUCAAAAUGUCUUUCACCUAUUUCACGAAGUUUUCCGAUUUCGAAGAGUGUGAAACGCCUGUAAGGGAGACCGAUGGCGCAGACGGCUGUGAUGAUGACGAUGUUGUCCCGGUUGAGAUCCACAACGUGUUGAACUCACGUGACGAGGGGAUCCUGAACUACUCACUGCCACGUCAUCAACGAUGUGCUUGCC